rnacentral:rRNA from 1 species
UUCCAGCUCCAAUAGCGUAUAUUAAAGUUGUUGCAGUUAAAAAGCUCGUAGUUGGAUUUGUGGUUGGGUCCGUUGGUCCGGCACAUUGUGCGGGUACUUGAUGGACUCGUCCAUCCUUGGGUGGAAUCUGUGUGGCAUUAAGUUGUCGUGCAGGGGAUGCCCAUCGUUUACUGUGAAAAAAUUAGAGUGUUCAAAGCAGGCUUAUGCCGUUGAAUAUAUUAGCAUGGAAUAAUGAGAUAGGACCUUGGUACUAUUUUGUUGGUUUGCGCACCGAGGUAAUGAUUAAUAGGGGCAGUUGGGGGUAUUCGUAUUCCAUUGUCAGAGGUGAAAUUCUUGGAUUUUUGGAAGACGAACUACUGCGAAAGCAUUUACCAAGGAUGUUUUCAUCA